rnacentral:piRNA from 1 species
UGAAGCAGAAUGUUCAAUUUGUUUGGUGGU